rnacentral:rRNA from 1 species
AUUGAACGCUGGCGGCAUGCCUAAUACAUGCAAGUCGAACGCGUGGCGGACGUGUGAGUAAUGUCUGGGACACUGCCUGAUGGAGGGGGCUAAAUACUGGAAACGGUAUCUAUCACCGCAUACCAUCGGCUUCUCCCAGAUGGGAUUAGCUAGUAGGGGGGGUAAAGGCUCACCUAGGCGAUGAUCCCUAGCUGGUCUGAGAGGAUGACCAGCCAACCGGGAACUGAGACACGGGCCAGACUCCUACGGGAGGCAGCAGUGGGGAAUAUUGCACAAUGGGCGCAAGCCUGAUGCAGCCAGGCCGCGUGUAUGAAGAAGGCCUUCGGGUUGUAAAGUACUGUCAGCGGGGAGGCGUUACCCGCAGAAGAAGCACCGGCUAACUCCGUGCCAGCAGCCGCGGUAAUAC